rnacentral:rRNA from 1 species
AGAAUAAACGCUGGCGGCGUGCCUAACACAUGCAAGUCGAGCGCGAAAGGUCUUCGGACUUAGUAAAGCGGCGGACGGGUGAGUAACGCGUGGGAAUCUGCCCUUCAGUGAGGAAUACCUCCGGGAAACCGGGGUUAAUACUGCAUACGUUCCGUAAGGAAGAAAGGUGGCCUCUUUGCUACCGCUGAUGGAUGAGCCUGCGUACUAUUAGCUAGUUGGUAGGGUAAUGGCCUACCAAGGCAGAGAUGGUUAGCCGGCCUGAGAGGGUGUACGGCCACAUUGGAACUGAGACACGGUCCAGACUCCUACGGGAGGCAGCAGUGAGGAAUAUUGCGCAAUGGACGAAAGUCUGACGCAGCGACGCCGCGUGGAGGAUGAAGGUCUUCGGAUUGUAAACUUCUGUUAAGUGGGGAGAAAUGCACAAUCCUAAUAUGAUUGUGAGAUGACGGUACACUAGAGAAAGCACUGGCUAAUCUCGUGCCAGCAGCCGCGGUAA